UAGGGAAUAUUGGACAAUGGGUGAGAGCCUGAUCCAGCCAUGCCGCGUGCAGGAAGAAGGCGUUAUGCGUUGUAAACUGCUUUUUGCCAGGGGAUAAAAUGACCGUGCGCGGUUAAUUGAAGGUACCUGGUGAAUAAGCCACGGCUAACUACGUGCCAGCAGCCGCGGUAAUACGUAGGUGGCAAGCGUUGUCCGGAUUUAUUGGGUUUAAAGGGUGCGUAGGUGGCCCUGUAAGUCAGUGGUGAAAUAUCUCAGCUUAACUGAGAGGGUGCCAUUGAUACUGCAGGGCUUGAGUACAGAUGAGGUAGGCGGAAUUGACGGUGUAGCGGUGAAAUGCAUAGAUAUCGUCAAGAACACCGAUAGCGAAGGCAGCUUACCAAGCUGUAACUGACACUGAGGCACGAAAGUGUGGGGAUCAAACAGGAUUAGAUACCCCUGUAGUCCCUGAGCGGGCUGGCAAGGCGCAU
rnacentral:rRNA from 1 species